rnacentral:rRNA from 1 species
AGAGUUUGAUCAUGGCUCAGAUUGAACGCUGGCGGCAGGCCUAACACAUGCAAGUCGAGCGGAUGACGGGAGCUUGCUCCUUGAUUCAGCGGCGGACGGGUGAGUAAUGCCUAGGAAUCUGCCUGGUAGUGGGGGACAACGUUUCGAAAGGAACGCUAAUACCGCAUACGUCCUACGGGAGAAAGCAGGGGACCUUCGGGCCUUGCGCUAUCAGAUGAGCCUAGGUCGGAUUAGCUAGUUGGUGAGGUAAUGGCUCACCAAGGCGACGAUCCGUAACUGGUCUGAGAGGAUGAUCAGUCACACUGGAACUGAGACACGGUCCAGACUCCUACGGGAGGCAGCAGUGGGGAAUAUUGGACAAUGGGCGAAAGCCUGAUCCAGCCAUGCCGCGUGUGUGAAGAAGGUCUUCGGAUUGUAAAGCACUUUAAGUUGGGGAGGAAGGGCAGUAAGUUAAUACCUUGCUGUUUUGACGUUACCGACAGAAUAAGCACCGGCUAACUCUGUGCCAGCAGCCGCGGUAAUACAGAGGGUGCAAGCGUUAAUCGGAAUUACUGGGCGUAAAGCGCGCGUAGGUGGUUCGUUAAGUUGGAUGUGAAAGCCCCGGGCUCAACCUGGGAACUGCAUCCAAAACUGGCGAGCUAGAGUACGGUAGAGGGUGGUGGAAUUUCCUGUGUAGCGGUGAAAUGCGUAGAUAUAGGAAGGAACACCAGUGGCGAAAGCGACCACCUGGACUGAUACUGACACUGAUGUGCGAAAGCGUGGGGAGCAAACAGGAUUAGAUACCCUGGUAGUCCACGCCGUAAACGAUGUCAACUAGCCGUUGGAAUCCUUGAGAUUUUAGUGGCGCAGCUAACGCAUUAAGUUGACCGCCUGGGAGUACGGCCGCAAGGUAAACUCAAUGAAUGACGGAUCGUCGACUGCAGCAUGCAGCUGCACUGUCGUCGUUUACACGUCGUGACUGUAAACCUGCGUACCCACUAUCGCUGCAGCACAUCCCCUUUCGCAGCUGCGUAUAGCGAGAGCCACGAUCGCCCUC